rnacentral:rRNA from 1 species
UACGAAGGGGGCUAGCGUUGCUCGGAAUCACUGGGCGUAAAGCGCACGUAGGCGGGUCUUUAAGUCAGAGGUGAAAUCCUGGAGCUCAACUCCAGAACUGCCUUUGAUACUGGGAAUCUUGAGUAUGGAAGAGGUGAGUGGAACUGCGAGUGUAGAGGUGAAAUUCGUAGAUAUUCGCAAGAACACCAGUGGCGAAGGCGGCUCACUGGUCCAUAACUGACGCUGAGGCGCGAAAGCGUGGGGAGCAAACAGG